rnacentral:lncRNA from 1 species
UUGAAUCCAACAAAGAGAAAUCUCGGCCUAGGAAGAAAAGACACCAAAAGGUGCUAGAAACUCGAAGGGUAAUGGGCCUCACGACUAAGGAACAACUCAACCAAAAAUUCCAAAAAAAAAAAGAAAGCCUAAAUAUAGUAUGGGUAUAGGUGCCCAUAGGGUACACAUGUGCUGCUAUGCACAUACAGGAUACUUGACCACCAUGUCCACCAGUGUUUCAAGGUCCUGUGAUGAA